UUUAUUUUAAGAAACAUCGAGUAUAUUCGAAAACUGGGUAAAUUAUGUCAGUGAACGGUUAUUUCAAGUCGUUUUUCUUCUUUAAAACAAUAUGUGUUGAAUUAGUUAUCUCAGUUGCUGAAUUAAGAAAUUGAGAGUUAUAAUACAGUUCGAUUGAAUUUAGAAUUAAAUACUAGAGAAACAAGACAAACGUGACAAAUAGUUCUAGGUAGAAUAUAGUAAAAGCA
rnacentral:lncRNA from 1 species